rnacentral:misc_RNA from 1 species
AACUUUUGGCAACGGAUCACUUGGUUCUGGCAUCGAUGAAGAACGCAGCGAAAUGCGAUAAGUAGUGUGAAUUGCAGACUUUAGUGAAUCAUCGAAUCUUUGAACGCACAUUGCGCCCCUUGGUAUUCCAUUGGGCAUGCCUGUUCGAGCGUCAUUUACACCCUCAAGCUCUGCUUGGUGUUGAGCGUCUGUCCUUGCCUUGUGCAAAGACUCGCUCUAAAUGUAUUGGCAGCGGCAUCGCCAGCUUCUUGCGCAGCACAUUGCGCUCUAAGAUUUUGGUGAGCUUGCAUCCAUUAAGAACCCCCCAAGUUUGACCUCGAAUCAGGUAGGGAUACCCGCUGAACUUAAGCAUAUCAAUAAGCGGAGGCU